AGUCAUUCCCGUCAUAGCCAAUCAGAUGCCUCAAUAAAACGUGUGGUGCCCGCUGCCCCCCACCUCAAACGUUGGAAGCGUUUGAUUGACAGAUUCACUGACUAUUCACUGCUUGCUAAAGUCGUCUGGUCCCAAAAUGCCGUAAUCAGACGAUAUCCGUACCAAGGAAAAAUGGCAACUGAACUGACUUCAUUUCAUUGGAACCCGGGAUAACAGCCUUGUUCUGUCCAUCUCUAUUCAUCUGAAAUGUAUGUAGCUACGCUUAAACGCAAGAGUUUUGAAAGCCCAAAAUGUGCAUUUGCACGCAUUUAUACGCUCGUUUACAUAGACUUUUCAUUAGAAGUUGCUGCUUUAAUGUCCAUUGCCAAAAGCAGUGUGAUCUUAACUAAAAUGGGGUAAACCAGUCAGGAAAUGAGUGUUUUCCAUUUUACAAAAACAAAAAAAUGAUCCCACAAUAAAAAAAAUAACAAAACCAAAUGACAAGUCAAACCAAAAAUAGAAAAUGCCUGAUCUCUCUGUUUCCGCCCACUCAUGAAAAGAACAUUUUUCAUAACAAAUAUAGAGAAUCUUUUUCCUAAAUUUACAUGCCAGAGAGGAAGAGGGAAACGUUUCUCUCACUAGGGAAUGUGUGGUUUCAAUGAAAGUUCCUAUAGUAAAAUGAUAAAUGAGCUCAGGUACUGUUUAUGUUAAAUAACAGGGCUUGUAUCAAAGAGUUUGAACGAAACCUGGAGGCCUCAACUCUUAUGCAAUCAUUGCUAAACAUCAGGAGUGGUAUGUUUUGAUGUGACUUUUGCAUUAAUUCAUUUGAGAUUUUUUUUCUGUCUGUCACCCAAGCAAGUGGAUAAAAAAAUAACAUUCAAAAUCCUCCAAAUAAACAAAAAGAUAACGUACUUUUUAAACUCCUUGUAGAAUUAGACUUUUGUAACUGUCCAAUUUUCUACCACUCAGUCGAAACCACCACCCACACAAAUUUCCACAAAGAUUCAAAUCAGGGCUUUAGGUUGGAAUGCCCAUGUGGUCAAUUUCUUGUUUUUAUGCCUUGACAGGUGGACUUCCUGUUUUGUCAGGAAGUCCAGGAUCUCUUUGCAAAAUAAUAAUUUUAUUUAAACAGAUACUCUUAUUUUGACUUUAAACUCUUAUUAUUUUUUUUUUCAUGCUGAUUUGGCAAAUAAUAUCCUGUUUUUCUUGUGUUUCACUGAAUUAAAUUGAAAGUACAUGGCCUAAAUACCAAAAGUUACCUAAUAAAAUAUAACUUGUAAGAAAAAUAAAAAAUAAAAAAUAAAAAACAACAAAAACAAAAGUAAAUAAACAAGGUCAAACGGUUUUAAUUCUUGAUAUGCUGUAUGUAAAGUAUUGAGAAACACAGCUCAGAUUCACUGCAGAUGAAAUAUGAACCAGUGUCGUGUUGACUCAAGGCUACAACCACAAACUACAGAGAUGACUGAGCAAGGCCUUCAGGAUGUGCGUCACCAUAAUUCAGACCUACAACUACACAGCUGAUGUGCAUCUAUUCCAACGCACACUGUGAAGUCUGGAAUGUCACAAGCGCACACGGACACACACCUGCUGCCUGGCGUCCUGGCAGCUUGGCUGGCAUGUGUGCGCAGGGGCGAGACUCGGUGGCGCUUGUUCCUGCACGCACAGAAAUAUCGAUGUUGUGGCUUGUUAGAUGACAUACUCAUCAGAGAGAGGACAGCUGUGUGUGUGUUUAUGUAAGUGUGUGUGUGUCACACGGUUACAUCAGUUCCAGUCUCACAAUGAGGUGUAGAAGUGUCUAAGGAUCUUCCUGGCACUGGAAUUAGAAAGUCUCUGCCCUCAGCACUUCCUUAAAUAGACACAACAAAUGUUUUUUUUUUCUUUUUUCGCCAACACCAACACUGACCUGUCAAAAUAAAAGCCUGACAGUUCUGACCUCGGCAGAACCUUUCAGGGUAUUUUUUUAUUUUAUGCUGAAUCAAAAAAACAAAACAGGAAGUUGUUUGCAAACAGAGUGACAGAGCGCCGUCCACCACGGCUUCUGAAUCUGAAGAAACAAAAUCUGCCCGUGUAAUUAUCCGCAUCAAAUGACACCUCGACACGUGAGCCUCAUGAAUAUGGAACCAGACUCCAUGAAUAUUCAGGAGAUCGGCUCAUGAAUAUUUAAACUAUGAUGGAGCAUGUGGCCAAAUGACUAGACAGCCGCAGAUAAGGAACAGACAAAUAGACUUUCUCCUCUCAACCUCAGCCAGCCGCAGCCUUUUCUCCAAGCUGCAUUCAGCCGGGCUAAAGCUGCAUCAUUUUCCCCAUUAUGUUUAUGGAAACUACAGCGCCCGAUAGGAGGAACGCAUCCCCGUUCUGUCUGUACAAAUGAAGAACGCCUGUUUGAGGGAUGCCUUUGUGGUGAAGAGGAUUUUGGCAGCAGAGCAGAUCAUUUUAACUCAAUUCUAGAUCCAGGCAAGAAAUAUAAAUUCCAAAAGUUUUAAAUUGUGUUAUUCAAGAAUUUAAUUAUUUUAAGUACUACAACAAAACAACUCUGGUCAUUUAAGUAUUGAUUAACUGAGCAUAAUAUAAGACUAAUCGCUUAAAACUUUCACAAUAAAAGUAAAAAUAAAUUCACUUUCAAAAUCUGACAUUCAAUUCCAGUGGACACUUUUUUGGGGGGAACAAUAAGCUUUUAACGGAUGCAUGGAUUAAAAGUUUUUUUUAAAGUACUAAGAUAAAUGUAGCCCAGAAUGCAAAUAUUAUUGCCUCCCAAAUAUUUACAUCUAAACUUCACAGAUGAUUGUUUAAUUUCAGGUCAAUUGCAUGUUUGCUGGACAUUUUUUGGAUCAAAAUGUCAUCAACCAACAUCCCACUAGUGAUCCUUAUCUUUUUCACAUUUUCUAAUCCACAACUACUGGCUGCAACCAACCAUUAUCAUUCCACCACCGUGCUUUACAGAUGACGGUUUUGACCCUCCCCCCCUUUUUUCACAAUUUAACAACAUUUAUUCAAGUAUCUGCACUAUAAAGAAAGAAUUCUGGGAUACAGGUGCUGGAAAUGUUCCUAACCUUUAUGUCUAAGCAGGUUAGAAGUCUAAAAAUCAAUUUAAAAUUGACCAACGAUGCAACUGCUUCAUAUCUCUUUUUGGGGCUUUUGGGGGAUCAUUUCACACAGUUUCAGAUAAUUUUAUUUUUGCUGUCAUUUGAAACAAAAAGUAAUCAUAAUCUUCAGAAAUGUUCAUGCUGUGGCUUAUUUAAUGGAGACUCUGAGCAACAAGAGAACAAAGUUCUCUGGAAAGUUUUGCCGCUUUCACAGAAAAAAAAAGUUUAAUCUUUUUCUUAAUAUACUGAAAUGUAUGUUCUCUGGAGAUAUUACGGUUUUGUAAAUGUCACCUAAAAAAAGACUUUCUCAUAAUGAUACUUAAACAGAAACUUGUGAAAAAAAAAUCCUCUUUUAAAAAGGUUAAAUCUUAAACUAGCAGAUCGUCGUCUUAGAGGAGCUAUUCUCCAUCACAACAGGAUUCACAGAUAUCGAUCUUCUCCUUGGUAGAAAGUUGUUGGUGAUGUUUAUGCAUCAUAACUGCCUCACUUCCUCCUCCCUGCACAACAGAAAGGAGGAGCUCAUCCCUUUUUGAUCAAAUAUCCCGCGGCCCAAACUGUACCUGCAUCCAGAAAAAGAAGCGAUCAAUAAAACGCAGCUGUAGCUCUCAAGGUGGAUGGUGGAUUUAGAUGUGGUGCGUCAGAGAACGGAUUUACAAAACCCUCCGCACAUAUGGGGGGUAAUCCGGGGUUCAAACGUGGGCUGGGAGUGUGAGCUCAAGAACACUAUUGGGGGGUUCUGGGAGGCUUCCCUUGCUGAUGAAUGGACUCACUGUGGAUCACCUUCCACUGAAGUCAUCUAAGAAAGAGUUGGAGGCCGGGGAACCUGCUCACAGUCUGGUGUGUCAGAGCGGAUGAGAAACGCACCUGUGAAGUGAUGGAGCUCAGCAGCGGCGCCGUGGCUGUGUGGGUUUGUGGUCUAUAACGGAUGCUUGACAGGCUGAUGAGCUCUGGCACUCACACUCUGCUUCCUCCUCUUGCCUGUCUUCUCAUCUCUCCAGGCGGUGGGCGUAAACUCCCCUCCUUCACUCUCCUCGCCCCUAAACGCCGCCUUUCCCUCCCCCUGCUCCUCCAGGCUCCGUCGAGGCGCCUUUGCUUUCCACGAUUGCAAGUUUGACGGGCCUUCAGAGGGAAAUCAAACAAUCUCUUCAAUUAGACGGCCCACACAAACGCAUGUCUGAACUUUUUCUUUUUUUUCAUCUUUCAGUCGCAGACACCUUUGUUCCCGAGCUGAAAACACGCUGUUCACACCAAAGGCGGAGAAAAACCUUCUCACUUUGAAGAACAAGAAGCAGCGACAGCCUUUUAAAGCUGAUUUGCAUUUAGAGGAGGGACUCCCUCCUCCUCCAUGCACCUCAAAUGACCCCUCAGUUUGUGUGAAAUUGUGCACAGUGGACAAUGAUGCCAGAAUAGAAGCUAAAACUGAAAAAUGUUGGGAUUAAUGAAGGAAGCACGGCGCCUCUCUGCUGUUAUGUCACUACAACCCUGAUGAUAAAACACUGUAGAAACACUUCAUCCCAAUUGCUGCCAUCAAGCAAGAAGGAGGAAAAGGUAAAGAGGAAGAGGAGAGGGGGAAGUGAGACAGAUGAAGUCCCCGGAGAGCCUCCGGACAGUCAGCAGCAGGAUGAGUCAAUACUGUAGUAAUGCUGUGGCGCACUGCAGCAUACCUGGAGGGGGCUCAGACCUGUUGAUGCAAUCAGUGGUGGAUUUCUCCAGUUUUCACUCCGCUUCCAUCUGUCUACCCUCCACUUGGCUGUCAGCCUCUCCAGUGAAUCCCGCUCCCAUCUUUCCUCCCACAGCUUUCCUUCUCAUUAUGUUUGUUGCUGGGAAUAAUAAAUAAAUAAAUAAAAUAUACGUAUUUCCAAGAGGCAAGUCCUGGACCAAAAACAAUUUACAGUAGCAUCUCGUGUUAUUUUGAAAUUUAAGGCACAAAAACAUUUAAGUUGGGAAUAUUUUUGUGGGCUGAUGGGACUUUUUACAGUUGAAAAUGACAACAAACAGGUUGACAUUUGGGACAGCUUUUCCUCCGACGGGAGUGACAAACUUUCUUUCCCGUUCGGUUUCCUCCUCCAUCCAUCUCCCAUCACCAGGAAUUCAAUCUCUCCCCUUCUUCUGGAGCUAUCUGUAUUCCUUUCCGCCCUCUAAUCUUUUUUUAUUAUUUGAUCUCUCCAUCUUCCGGCUCCAGCUAUACCUCCCGUCCCACAUUGUUGACCCAGAGGCCUCCGCGCCUGUUCUCUCAGCCGUGGGCAUCAUGACCAUAAGCUGAGUCGCAGGGGCUAUUUAUAUUUGUUCCUAAUGAGGUGAGAUUUUUCUCCGCCAUAGCAACGGUCUCUAUGGAUACCCCUGCGCUUGGAUACCAGAUCCCAUCCUGUUUUAAAUGUCUUAUUAUGGGCUGCACCCUCCCCUGUGCUGUUGUAGCCUAAUUAAUUCUGGAUCUCCGCCCCCUUUUUUUAUGCCACCAAGCAGACAACCUUUUAUCUGCAAGUUCAAACGGACAAUUAGCUGCAUGGUUGUUGAUCAAUAUUACAUCACUAAGGUGUGCAGUGUAAUAAACUCCUGCAACAAGCAGUGGAUUGAUGGGAAACUCACAGGAGGAGUGGGGGGUCACAUCCGUGACCUGCACGCGGCAUUGAUCAGGAUUGAGGCACAGACCUGGAGCUGAGCUCACACCAUUACACGACUGGGAAAGGGGGGGCACACAGGUAUUGUCAUCUCACUUCCUGCCACAAAGUGAGACAGCCGAUCAAUAACUUCUGGAGAAAGCCGCAGCGGUGCAAAAACCACCCACACAGGCACGAGGAGAAUGCACCCCCCAGAGUUUCUCCUCGCGAGACAGCUGCGUGCACAUGUACUCACACAGGUACACACUCUUGACAGGUGCAGCAUUGUUAUGGCAUGUCCAACUCUGGCAGCUUGUUUUCCCUCAGACCUGCUCGCCCCGCGCGCACUGACUCACACAUGAAGGUAGGGGGUGGGGUGGAGGGCACGUGGGAGGAGAGGAGGCUCUGACGCGGGAUCACUUUCGGCGUAAGGUUAAGUAAAUCAUAUCAUCACUGCAGCGUUAGGAGAUUGCUUUGACCUCCUGUUUGGCCGCCAAACGGAUGCACGCGCGCGCUCGGGCCUUUGUGCGCAGCAGUGACGCUCGUCUCCUUCCCAGCAUCGACGCACGCGCUCCCUCCCCGCCACCGGUGUGCUCUCCGGUGUCAGUCCCACCGGGUUCUGUCAUGCUUGAAAUUCACACAUAAUAUCAGGUGGCCUGGCUGACACAAACGUGUGUGCGCGCGCAGACACUCGGUAUGGCAAGCAAACAGCAUCAUAAAUCGCCUGGAAAGACGGCGUUAAGAACAGCGUUUUGGCCUUUUAACAUUUGACCAGCUCAGUGGCCUUGUAGUGGAAUGUCCAUCCUGAGACUGGAAGUUUGUGAGUUCAAAUCGGGGCCGAGUCAGACCAAAGACUAAUAAUGAGACCAUCCCUACUAAACACUCAGCAUUAAGGGGUUGGAUUGGGGGGUAAACCACCACGUGGUUCCAUAGUGCAGCUGUGUCUGCAGCUCACCGCUCCCCAAGGGAAAGAGCUAAAAGCAGACAACAAAUUUCCCACAACAAGGUGCGUGACAGCUAAUGGGACUUUUAUAAAAAAAAUUAGUUUUUUUACACACAUUUUAAAAUAUUGUUUUGUCCAAAGCAACAUUUAUUGCCGUUUUCAAUCCGGCCGCAAUGACUCAUCACGUUCAAGAAGUCACAUCCAAUGUAAAGUCUGUUUAAACACACCUCAGCCUGAAUUUUAGGCUUCAGCGUUCAUGUGUCGUUAUGCAAAUUUUUCAGUUCGAUCGUGGGUUCUACGUAUGAAAUUCGCGUUCAUUUUCUGAAAGUCCAAGCAGUUGAACUUUUUGAUGCUAAAUCGUGACAACACUGAGCUUUGACCAAUCAGGGACUCAGAUUAAGUAGUGACUUGUGGGUUGUGUUCUACGGUGGACGAGAACCACCAUUGCAGCAAAAAAAAAAA